rnacentral:rRNA from 1 species
GAUUAACGCUGGCGGCGUGCAUAACACAUGCAAGUCGAACGAUGAAACUUAGUAGACUUCUUCGGAAAGACACUAAGCGGAUUAGUGGCUAACGGGUUAGUAACGCGUGAGUAACCUGCCUUACACAAGGGGAUAGCCUUUGGAAACGAAGAAUAAUACCCUAUAAAACCAUAAAAGCACAUGCUAGAAUGGUCAAAGUGAUAGCGGUGUAAGAUGGACUUGCGUCUGAUUAGCUAGUUGGUGAGAUAAAAGCUCACCAAGGCAACGACCAGUAGCCGGCUUGAGAGAGUGUACGGCCACAUUGGGACUGAGACACGGCCCAGACUCCUACGGGAGGCAGCAGUGGGGAAUUUUGCACAAUGGGGGAAACCCUGAUGCAGCGACGCCGCGUGAUUUAGAAGGCCUUCGGGUUGUAAAAAUCUUUUGUAUAGGAAGAAAAUGACAGUACUAUAAGAAUAAGGUCCGGCUAAUUACGUG